GGGUCGUUAGCUCAGUUGGUAGAGCAGUUGAAUUUUAAUCAAUUGGUCGCAGGUUCGAAUCCUGCACGACCCCCCA
rnacentral:tRNA from 1 species